rnacentral:rRNA from 1 species
AUUGAACGCUGGCGGCAGGCCUAACACAUGCAAGUCGAGCGAGCGGCGGACGGGUGAGUAAUGUCUGGGAAACUGCCUGAUGGAGGGGGAUAACUACUGGAAACGGUAGCUAAUACCGCAUACCAUCAGAUGUGCCCAGAUGGGAUUAGCGAGUAGGUGGGGUAACGGCUCACCUAGGCGACGAUCCCUAGCUGGUCUGAGAGGAUGACCAGCCACACUGCAAAUGAGACACGGUCCAGACUCCUACGGGAGGCAGCAGUGGGGAAGAUUGAACAAUGGGCGAAAGCCAUAUGCAGCCAUGCCGCGUGUGGGAAGAGGGCCUUCGGGUUUUAAAGCACUUUCAGCGGGGAGGCGUUACCCGCAGAAGCAGAACCGGCUGACGCCGAGCUAGCAGCCGCGGUAAUAC